UGGGCAACCUGCCCUCAGCUCUGGGAUAACCCCGGGAAACCGGGGCUAAUACCGGAUACGACCUCCGCGGGCAUCUGCGGAGGUGGAGAGGUUUUCCGGCUGAGGAUGGGCUCGCGGCCUAUCAGCUAGUUGGUGGGGUGAUGGCCCACCAAGGCGACGACGGGUAGCCGGCCUGAGAGGGCGACUGGCCACACUGGGACUGAGACACGGCCCAGACUCCUACGGGAGGCA
rnacentral:rRNA from 1 species